AAGGGGGGGGGGGCGAUGUCCAAACGCGUCCACGCCCUACGGCGAAACCAAAGCGUCGAGGGAGAAGUGCGUUCUGAAGAAAAUAUACUCAGCUACUUUACAAGUACAUGUACAAAAGGUUUAGAUAAAUAUUUGCACACUAUAGAAAGAAAUUACAUCCGAUGCCAGUGUUUUUCGUUUUGCCUUGCGAGUUUGUGUGUGCGUGUGUGUGCGCGUGCGUGAAGAAAUGUUUAUUAAAUGUUAUACUUUUGUUUUGAAAUGCGCAGAAUACUGGUACGAGUUGGCGGGUCAACCCUGGCAGGAGUUGACACGUCUUCUAACACGCGGCGCCGGUCGGUAUUCACGAACGGAGCACGAUGCCCUCUCUCUUUCCUCGCUUCCUCGACGUCUCCCUCCCCCCUCGACUCACAAUACAAACUUCGGCUCCGUCAGGGAGCAAACAGGCGGAGAGAGCUUCGGUAGCAAAACAAAGUCCAUCCAAACUAGAGGCCUCAACGCACGCACGCACGCACAGGGGCGGACCGAUCGACCGCCUAACAGAGUACAAUAUGUACACGUUCCUAACAUCGUGGAAGCAUCCAGACUACGCUCACAAUGUACGCCGCCGCACGCUGGAGACAAAAUGAACAACCCCCGUCAACGUUGCCGUGACGCGCCGCUUGCUCGGUGUGUUUUUGCGCGGCAUGAAAGGUGAGCGAGGAGCCGCCGCUGAGAGGAUUCUCGACGUCGCGAGACGCGCCGAGAGUCGAAGGGGAUGACGCCGAUCCAUGCCGAGCAGGCAGAGAUUGGCGCGUCGCUGUUGCGCACAGCCUCCGCUUUCCCACGCGGAGGCUCAAACGGAUCAGCAAAACAUUCUUCGCAGAAUCCUCGGAGAAGAUUUGCAGGGCUGAAGAGGACGCACGUGGCCCGGCACGCCGAGCCGUGCACCUCGGCGACCUCGGAGGAGUCGGUUCCCAGUAGUGUCGCGUCCCUGUGCUCGAAACAUUUAAAUCGUGUACAAAAAAAAAACAUCAUUCUUCUUACACAUGUAAACAGAUGUUCUCAGA